rnacentral:rRNA from 1 species
UACGUAGGUGGCAAGCGUUGUCCGGAUUUAUUGGGUUUAAAGGGUGCGUAGGCGGCUUUAUAAGUCAGUGCUGAAAUAUCCCGGCUUAACUGGGAGGGUGCGCUAAAGACUGCCUGGCUCGAGUGUGGGAGAGGAAAGCGGAAUUCCUGGUGUAGCGGUGAAAUGCGUAGAUAUCAGGAGGAACACCUGCGGUGUAGACGGCUUUCUGGACCAUAACUGACGCUGAGAUACGAAAGCGUGGGUAGCAAACAGG